UCCGUAGGGGGCAAUCGUUGUCCGGAAUUAUUGGGCGUAAAGCGCGCGCAGGCGGUUAAUUAAGUCAGAUGUGAAAACCUCAGGCUCAACUUGAGGAUUGCAUAUGAAACUGGAUAACUUGAGUGCAGUAGGGGAAAGCGGAAUUCCUGGUGUAGCGGUGAAAUGCGCAGAUAUCAGGAAGAACACCAGUAGCGAAGGCGGCUUUCUGGGCUGCUACUGACGCUGAGGCGCGAAAGCUAGGGGAGAAAACAGG
rnacentral:rRNA from 1 species